rnacentral:lncRNA from 1 species
GCUGAUGAAAGAAGACCCCCAUCUCCAGUCUAAUUGGGCCAUGGAUAGAAAACAAAGAUGUGGCAAGUUUUUGCGUAAAAUGGGGCUGGCACGUGCUUGGUGCCUCUUCACUUCUGACUCAGUUCGCACUCAAUUUUGUUUUAUGGUCCCUGGUGCAUGUGUACCACCCCAUGGCCUUUCUUAGGAUGGACAGGGCCUGGUGCCUUCAUUUCUCUGAGUUCCCCCAGCAUGCAGAGCAAUAGGUGGCAGUCAAGAUGGUGCUGCAAUGGUGUCAGAAAGAUGGGAUCCUUGGAAAAGUCAGUGUGUCUGACUCUCAGUUUGCACAUCUGUACAAUGGCAAAAUGUCAUCUAUCCUCAGAGAUUCCAGGUGCUACCACACACUCAGACUGAUGCAGUAUUUUCUUUCUCUCAGCUACCCUGUUAGGUAGCUAAGACUUAAAAUGUGGCCCUUGGACCAGCGUCAUCGCUGUUAUCUGGGAAUUUGCUAGAAAUGUAGACUCUUAGGCCCUACUCCAGACCACUCCAGACCAACCAAAGGAAGAUCUGCCUUUUACCAAGAUCCUCAGGAAAAGUGUGUAUACAUCAAAGUCUGAGAAGCACUUUUCUGUGCAGAUUCUCAUGAACAUUAAAUGUAAGCAAGUAAACGAGAGUGAGCCUGUGACCGUGUUCUCUUCUGGGAAAGGAUAGGACUCUUUACCUGAGGGCUACAGGGAGGCUCAAGUGAAGAAGUUGUGUAUAACCGGCAAGGUCUUUGACAGUCACUCACUGAUUCCUUCAGUGAACAUUUCUUGAGCAACUACUAUAAAGCAGGUUUGGCGCUUGUGCAAAAUAUGUUCUUUGCUUAGAUAUUUAAAAGAACUGAGUGAAACAUGUUGAAUACUGUUAAAUAGCUCUAGUUAGUACAGAGGGUGAUAAGGGAACGAAUAACUAGUUCUGACUAAAGUUCAGGGCUGGGUAGGUUAGGGGAGGCUUUCUUACAGUGGUGGCAUUGAGCUUCUACUGGAAUGAAUGAGGCAGAGAUCCUUCUGGGCAGAGGGCAAUAUAAAAAAGAGCUCUGAGCCAUGAACAGGCAUGGGGGAUUUGAAUGUGACUGUUAAUCCCCAAACAAGAACCAGAACCAAUAAAGUGAUAAAUAGUGUAUUGGGGGAUGGAAUCCUGAUCUGACGGGUAGGUACUGACAAGAGAGGUGUUCAUAUUCAGCCUGAAAAGUAUUGUGCCUACAGUGUUGAUUACCUAAGAGGAAGACACUGUAAUUUUUCCUUUUUAUUCCUCGCAUACUCUAACUGAUGAGGUUUGUUGCCAGCAUCGACGUUCUACUUCCUACGAUUUUAAUCUAACACUGAGUAGCAGUGUUUCGGUAAGGACGAGAAUAGGUUUCCCGAUGUCAUUUGCAUGUAUGACCUCACUGGAAAGGCAAGGGGGCACCUUCCUUAACUGAGAAUUUCUAUGUCAGCAUGUUUCGCAAAUGGCCAAAGCUGUCACCCAGCACCACCUGAGAGAUGUCACUGCUUUCCUUCCCAACUGCAGUGAGGCAUGUGGCUCUCAGUCGGAGAGCACAGGACAGAAGUAGAAAUACCACGGAGGCCCCAGAGAACAGAAACUCUGAUGUACCCAAGAAAGGGCUUCCAUCCUAGACUAACCAAGAGUGGGGGGCCCUGUCUCUCAGAAAACCACUGUGAUGUGGAGUCUCUGCCUGGUCACAACCAGUGAAACCUGGAGUGAGAGGGGGUGACACCAAUGUGAUCACAUGCAGAGGCAAAAUCACUUCCUGAAGUGGGUCCGUGAGCUGCA